rnacentral:rRNA from 1 species
GACCUGGCGGCAGGCUUACACAUGCAAGUCGAGCGGUAACAGGGGGUGCUUGCACCCCGCUGACGAGCGGCGGACGGGUGAGUAAUGCUUAGGAAUCUGCCCAGUAGUGGGGGAUAGCCCGGGGAAACCCGGAUUAAUACCGCAUACGUCCUACGGGAGAAAGCAGGGGAUCUUCGGACCUUGCGCUACUGGAUGAGCCUAAGUCGGAUUAGCUAGUUGGUGGGGUAAAGGCCUACCAAGGCGACGAUCCGUAGCUGGUCUGAGAGGAUGAUCAGCCACAUCGGGACUGAGACACGGCCCGAACUCCUACGGGAGGCAGCAGUGGGGAAUAUUGGACAAUGGGGGCAACCCUGAUCCAGCCAUGCCGCGUGUGUGAAGAAGGCUUUCGGGUUGUAAAGCACUUUCAGCGAGGAGGAAGGCUCUGAAGUUAAUACCUUCAGGGAUUGACGUUACUCGCAGAAGAAGCACCGGCUAACUCCGUGCCAGCAGCCGCGGUAAUACGGAGGGUGCAAGCGUUAAUCGGAAUUACUGGGCGUAAAGCGCGCGUAGGUGGUUAGGUAAGCCGAGAUGUGAAAGCCCCGGGCUUAACCUGGGAACGGCAUUUCGAACUGUCUGACUAGAGUGUGGUAGAAGGGUAGUGGAAUUUCUGGUGUAGCGGUGAAUGCGUA